rnacentral:tRNA from 1 species
GCAGGUUUAAUUAGAGGUUAGAGCAUCGCAUUUGUAAUGCGAUGGUUAUCGGUUCGAAUCCGAUAACCGGCU